AAAAUCCGUCGAAUUGUAAAAUCGUGAGGGUUCAAGUCCCUCUAUCCCCA
rnacentral:tRNA from 5 species